UACGUAGGGGGCAAGCGUUGUCCGGAAUGACUGGGCGUAAAGCGCGCGCAGGCGGUCUUUUAAGUCUGAGGUGAAAGGCUGGGGCUCAACCCUGGCAUCGCCUUGGAAACGGGAAGACUUGAGGACUGGAGAGGCAAGGGGAAUUCCACGUGUAGCGGUGAAAUGCGUAGAGAUGUGGAGGAAUACCAGUGGCGAAGGCGCCUUGCUGGACAGUGCCUGACGCUGAGGCGCGAAGGCGUGGGGAGCAAACAGGAUUAGAUACCCUGGUAGUCCACGCGGUAAACGAUGAGUGCUAGGUGUCGGAGGGUACCACCUCCGGUGCCGAAGGAAACCCAAUAAGCACUCCGCCUGGGGAGUACGGUCGCAAGACUGAAACUCAAAGGAAUUGACGGGGGCCCGCACAAGCAGUGGAGCAUGUGGUUUAAUUCGAAGCAACGCGAAGAACCUUACCAGGACUUGACAUCCCCCUGACGGGAGUAGAGAUAUUCCGUCCCUUCGGGGCAGGGGAGACAGGUGGUGCAUGGUUGUCGUCAGCUCGUGUCGUGAGAUGUUGGGUUAAGUCCCGCAACGAGCGCAACCCUUGAUCAGUGUUACCAGCACGUAAAGGUGGGGACUCACUGAUGACUGCCGGUGACAAACCGGAGGAAGGCGGGGAUGACGUCAAAUCAUCAUGCCCCUUAUGUCCUGGGCCACACACGUGCUACAAUGGGCGGUACAACGGGAAGCAAGAGAGCGAUCUGGAGCGAAACCCUAAAAGCCGUUCGUAGUUCGGAUUGCAGGCUGCAACCCGCCUGCAUGAAGCCGGAAUUGCUAGUAGUCGCGGAUCAGCAUGCCGCGGUGAAUCCGUUCCAGGGCCU
rnacentral:rRNA from 1 species